AUCCAGCUGACGAGUCCCGAAUAAGACGAAACGCGCGUCAAACUGGAU
rnacentral:hammerhead_ribozyme from 1 species